rnacentral:rRNA from 1 species
UACGUAGGGCGCAAGCGUUGUCCGGAAUUAUUGGGUGUAAAGAGCUCGUAGGCGGUCUGUCGCGUCCGUUGUGAAAACUCGAGGCUCAACCUCGGGCUUGCAGUGGAUACGGGCAGACUAGAGUGCGGUAGGGGAGACUGGAAUUCCUGGUGUAGCGGUGAAAUGCGCAGAUAUCAGGAGGAACACCGGUGGCGAAGGCGGGUCUCUGGGCAACAACUGACGCUGAGGAGCGAAAGCGUGGGGAGCGAACAGG